rnacentral:rRNA from 1 species
GACGAACCGUGCGAACGUUGUUCGGAUUCACUGGGCUUAAAGGGCGCGUAGGCGGGUUUUCAAGUCUGGGGUGAAAUCCUCUCGCUCAACGAGAGAACUGCCCUGGAUACUGGAGACCUCGAGGGAGGUAGGGGCAUGUGGAACUUCCGGUGGAGCGGUGAAAUGCGUAGAUAUCGGAAGGAACGCCGGUGGCGAAAGCGACGUGCUGGACCUCUUCUGACGCUGAGGCACGAAGGCCAGGGGAGCAAACGGG